AUGAUGGGUCGAGUCGGUGCUUAUGAGAGGCAGCAGGAUGGCACUGGGGAAGAGAAUGAAACAGCCAUGGCGCCCAGCAUGUUAGGCCAAUACAUGCCUCAGUGGAAAUGGAAAUCUUCCUACCUGAUUUAUAUGCUGCUGGCAAUUGCUUUUCUGCUGAUCAUCAUAUUGUUUGGGAUUGUGACUUCCAAGGGUAAUUACAUUACUUUGAAUCUAAAUUUCUUCACAAUCAUAAUGACAAAAUUUGAGAGUUGGGUUCAGAAUGUUCUCUGGAUGUGGGUGAAUUAAAAGUUCCAAAUUUUAGGGUCAUUCCUCCCCAAAUGUCUCCGAUAUUUUAUGUUAGUCAUGUUGGUUAUGUGUGCCAAGUUUGGUCUAAAUCUAUUAUUAGCUGGGUUCACAGUGCUCCCUGGAUGCAGGUGAAAGACAACUUCCUAAAUUCAAGGUCAGUUCCCUCAAAAACCCACCAGUACUCAAAGUUGGGCAUGUUCAGUAUGUGUGCCAGGAGCCUCCGGUGGCCUAGGGGAUAAAAGCUUUGUGACUUGAAGGUUGGGUUGCUGACCUGAAGGCUGCCAGGUUCGAAUCCCACCCGGGGAGAGCGCGGAUGAGCUUCCUCUAUCAGCUCCAGCUCCAUGUGGGGACAUGAGAGAAGCCUGCCACAAGGAUGGUAAAACAUCAAAAAACAUCCGGGCAUCCCCUGGGCAACGUCCUUGCAGACGGCCAAUUUUCUCACUCCAGAAGCAGCUCCGGUUGCUCUUUACACACACACACACACACACACACAAAGUAUGUGUGCCAAGUUUGGUCAAGAUCCAUUGUUGAUUUAGUUCUCAGUGCUCUUUGAAUGUGGGUAAACUAUAGCUUCCAGAAUUGUGGGCUAAUCCCUUCCAAACCCCACCAGUAUUUAAAGUUGGCCAUGUUGGGUAUGUGUGGUCCAGAUCCGUUGUUGCCAGGGCUUACAGUGCUCUCUGGAAGUGGCAGCUGUCUUGAAAAAUACAAACAAACAAACAUGGAUGCUUAUAAACAUUCACUGUUAUUGCUAUACAAGUUUAGGUACCCAAUGAUGCCCAGGUUAGGUAAUUUGUAAUGCUAUUUAUUAGAAAAAGUCAGUCUUUGCUUUUGCUUUUUAUGAAUGCUCCCAUUAGAACGCUUCCAUUAGCUUUUAUGACAACAGCAGCACUAAAAAAGCACCAUCAUUACUUUUAAAAACAAAUAUGCAUAGAGAGCAUAUCCUUUAUAUUGAAGUGCAUUUGCAUUUCCAAGAAGCUUUGGCUCUUUUCAUGCCUCGUUUUUAAAAGGAUGUGAUAGUAUUUUUUUUUUUAAAGCAUUGUUCUACAGAUAUUCAGCAUUGCAACAGUAUUUUCCAUGGAAGGGCUUGCUGUCAGGUCCCCGGAUUUUUUGCCCUACUUUUUAAACUCUCAUUUUGAUUCUGUUUGGAAGCACCCUUUAAAGUCAGCAAGUUGCUUAAGCAGCUUCAAAAGAGCAAUGAAUAUAAGUAUCUCCACUAACUCUGCUGAGGCUUUUGCCUGGCGUAUAUGGUAUUAAAAUGUGACAAUGAGCUCAGUAGAGACCUACCACAACCUCUGGACAUAUAAGAGAGUUAAAUGAAUUAUUUAUUUAUUUACAGUAUUUAUACCCUGCCCUUCUCACCUCAAAGCAGACUCAGAGUGGCUUUACAGAACACAUAUAUGGCAAACAUUCAAUGCCGAUUAUACAGUUAACAAGGACAGACAAUGCAGAAGAGUAAAAGCAGUUUUUUCCCAUCUUAUUUCUGGCAUUUUGGAGCUGUGUUCGACUCCAGCCAUGGGAGGGUGCUGUUGUUUCAUCUGCCAUGCUAAGGAGCUUUCUUCCAAUUAAUGUCCUUAAGGGUGCCUUUAUUACCUCCUCGCUAAGAGCAGUACCCUAUUUAUCUACUCGCAUUUCUGCUUUCAAUCUGCUAGGUGGGCAGGUGAGCUGAGGCUGACAAUGGCUGCUCACCCCAACCCAGGCUUGAACUGCCGACCUUUCGAUCAGCAGGAUCUUUCUGCAGCAAAGCAGUUUAGUCUGCUGUGCUGAGUCCAGAUUGUUUCACGUAUAACAUGCAUUAGAGACUGAUUCUGAAUAUCUCAAAGCUGCUUCAUUAAACCAAACUUCACUUUUCCAAAUUCUAUGGAAAAUAAAAUGAUGCAGAGAUCAUAAUAGUCAACGUAAUCAAGCACUGGUACAUAUCUUUUCAUCUGCAAUUAAGAUCAAAAUAUCAUCACUCUAUUAGUCUAAUGGAGUAUUGGGCCUUUGGGGACUG
ensembl:lncRNA